rnacentral:lncRNA from 1 species
AGCUGGAGAAACAGUGGUUCAGAGAGACAGAGCAGCCCAUCCCAGGGAUGAGACUCACACCUUAUCUUCUGAUUCCGUGUCCAGGCGCCUUUGCCCUGCUCCCUACUGUCCCCACAGAGGGAGAUUGCAGCCCAGCAGAGUAUCUACAGUCUGUUGAUGCAGCUGGGUCCACAGCUGUGCAUUCCACAGCAGUCCAGAGGACACCUCAGAGUCAUGACCCACUCUCUUCCUUCUGCGGCCCCAACCCCACCACCACCACCACCACCACCACCCUUAGAUACCAAGCAGGACACUGCUCUGUGACUUUUCAGUGGGCUUUGUAUUUUCUAGACUAGAGACACUGGCUCAUGGCCAUGCUUAGGUGCCAUGAGCCAGUAGGAGCAUCUAAAGAGAGCUGACAGGAGAAAGGUAUUUGUUUAAACACUGCUGGAGCGCUUGUAAAAGGAUGGAGGCCAGGAGCCAAGCAAAGCAGCGCAGCAUCACUUAGGCAAGCAUAGAGCUCCCAAGAACACGGUGCAAGAACCUUCACUCAGGGCCACUUUAUAAGUAAGUCACGGAGUUCCUGCAGUGGAGCAGCACCUGUGUCAGCAUCAGACCCUAGCUCCUUACAUUCUCUGCUGAGUUUUACCUGGUAUAGGGAAUGCAUAUGGAAAAUACACAUGGGCAUCGUGCUCACCCAUACCUCUCUGAAUACAUUUAAGAUGUAGGGUUUAAGCUGAAUGCACUUAGGAUUCAUGUUUUCCUUCAUGAGGAAGAACAUAAAGUCAAAUACAGACUGACAAGGAGACUCGAACCCUAACAACGACAGAAUGGCUGGAGCAAACGUAUGCCUCUCCUCACAGCUGUCUGGAUCUUAGGAUGCUUCGAGAAGCGGGGUAGGGGUAGGUGGCUUUGAGAGCAGCUGCAGAAGGACCUGUUUCAAGUCCCAAAGAGGUGUGAACAGGCACUCACACGCUUUUAUAAGACCGUCUCUGCUGUGACACCAGCACACUCCUGUUAGGAGAUCAUUCUCCUGCCUCGCAUUGGAGAGUGUCCUCAAUUGUUUGUAAGGGAAGCUGAGAUGGGCUCCUGAAGCAUGCAGUCUUUAAUCUGUAUGUGUGCAUGUGUGUGUGGCACUCACAACCUCUCUGCUGCUAGUAUCAAGUCCCUCCCUAUUUCUACCAAAUACAUAAUCAAAAAGAUCUAUAAAAACACAUAGCUCUAUGUACUGAGCACUCUAUACCAUACAUUUCGGUAUACAAUGAACAUCUUUUGGGAGGUCUUUUUGGGAUAGCCACUCUCUGUGUAUACCACCCUGGCCUUGAGUUCACAAUCCCCCUGCCUCAACCUCCCAAGUACUGGUAUUUCAGCAACAAGUACCUUCUUGAAGGUACCCAAAGUGAUUCCAAUUUUAUGAAAAAGCUGAGGUUUAGAAAGAAGUGGUCCCAAGGAUCCCACCAUGCCUUUGUGUUGAUGCUGGAUCUGAGGCAAGUCUUAGACCCCAGGGCUUCCUUAAACCAGGGUGUAGAGCCUCCUGGAUUUAGUCAGCCCUGCAGGACUCCAGCUUUCAGUCACGAAGAACUUCCCGAUUUGUAAGAAAGGAAUUCUCCAGGAGAAAAUAGCAUUCCAUCAGGUUCCUGUGUAACUGAGCAUCUCAUGUGAAUGCAGCUAAGGAGGUUGAGCCUCUGAAUUAGCUGAAUCAGGCGAACACUCAUUGAGAACUAUUCUUUAGUCCCUAUGUCCUCACCCAUGUGUUCCCUUGGGAUGCUCAGUAGCUACCAGCGGUGUGACCAGCACUCUGGUCACCAGGGCAAAGCAGAGCUACAGCUAACCAUUUCAAAAUAAAAAUGAUCUUGAAAGUCAGAAUUUGUUAACUUCUAAAUUUUAAAAAUAGUUUCUUUUCCUUUCAAAAACGAGAUCAAAGUUCUGUAGAAAUAAGUCGAGUUAGAUAAAUAGCCCGUCUAACUUUCUGGAAGCUGCCGUCACCAAUAUUUCAGUAACUAUUUCCCCUCGAGGGUAAGCCUGCCACCCUUAAACAGCUCCCCCUUGAAUUGGUAUGUUGUGGUCAUCUUUUCAUGGUGAUAUACGCAUUCUGUUGCAUUUUAAGUGUCUGCUUAAGCUAUCACUUCCCAGAAUACCCUUCACCAGUUGUUCAGCAACUCAUUAAAGAAAUCUUAGGCUACUGUAAGGUCUUUCCCGUAACAGUGUCAUGGCGAGCAUUUGUGUAUUUAUUAAAACCUUUUCUUCAAGUACCCCCGCACUCAAACAUGAGCGUCUGUAGACUGAAUACUUUUGAAAGCCACUGUGUCAGAGUACAAAGUUUUGUCACUGAACAAAGAGCUUCUCCAUCCCUGCCUAAAAAACCUGGAUUUUUGUUUUAAAUUGGAUAUUUUCUUUAUUUACAUUUCAAAUGUAAACCUGGAUGUUUUAAUCAUUGGGUUUUAUCAUCUCUUUAGCAUCGGAGACUGGCUUGCUGUGUGGGGCAGAGUCUGGCAGUGACUAAUUCAGUGUUCCACACAUGGCAUUCCUCUCAGUGUGUUCUACUUUACAUGUAAUGAUGAUAAGGACUUGCUUCUAAAUUAGCAGAGAGAGCAAAGGCAUGCAUACAGCAUGCGCACCAUUUCUCUAUCUGUGGAACAGUGGCAUACGUCCCUGUGCCCACACAAGGCAACUCAGCAUGCAUCACCUGAGCACCUACUAAGUGCCUGACCAUGCAAAGUAUUAGAAUUGUGGACAGUACAAACUUCAAAGUCAAAGAGCUCAAUGUCUUAAUAUUUCUGUACACACACACACACACACACACACACACUCAAACACCAACAAUUGGUAUUCUGUACAGGAUAAGAAGUUAAGGAUUUGUUUCCUAAGAACCCCUUAAAUUUGAAUAAUUAUGGAAAAUAUUGACCCCCACACACACACCUUGGCUAGAAACGGAGAAGAAGGAACGUGCUGGAAGAAGAGGCUCUCCAAUAACAAAUGAAAGGCAGCUGUCAAAAUAGACUCAAACAGCACACUCAUAAACUGCUUGCGCAAUCAGAAAAUAUUAUCCUUUUUCUAGGGAGAAAUAGGACAUUUCUCUACGGUAAGCAAAAUGUAACUUUUUGAAGGGUCAACACUCUUGACAUUUUUAUGAUACUCAUACAGACAGAACUGAACAAACAUUAAUACAGCUUUCACAGUCUUGGGUAUGAUUUUCAAGAUGAUGAAAAAGCACAGACUAUGCCUGUGGAACUUAAAGGAUUAAACGGAAUGCGCCUGUGGAUCAUGACUUUAGAAAUGUAAAACUCGAGAUGUUCUAGCCAUAGCUGUUCACGUGUAAUAUCAUGUAUCAGUAAAAUGAUUUAUAAAUGAUUUUAUAAAU